rnacentral:ncRNA from 1 species
GCUGGUGUAGUGGGGAUGGUAAUUCAUGAACACGAAGCCCCGGCCCUGGUCGAUGGUAUGGAACAGGGGGUUCCAGUCAAACCAUUGCCGGAUCUUGUGCGGGGCCUGGUUGGCAAUCAGCAUCUUACCGCUGGCGAUCAUGUUUGCGCGCAUG